rnacentral:rRNA from 1 species
UACGUAGGGGGCGAGCGUUGUCCGGAAUUAUUGGGCGUAAAGAGCUCGUAGGCGGCUUGGCAAGUCACGUGUGAAAUCUUCAGGCUCAACCUGGAGAUGCCACGUGAUACUGCCAUGGCUUGAGUCCGGUAGGGGACCAUGGAAUUCCUGGUGUAGCGGUGAAAUGCGCAGAUAUCAGGAGGAACACCAGUGGCGAAGGCGGUGGUCUGGGCCGGUACUGACGCUGAGGAGCGAAAGCGUGGGGAGCGAACAGG